GUUAAUAUGUGAUUGGUGGGUAUCUGUACCAGGACGACAUCCCAGGUUAAUACAUUGUAUAGAGGGUGCAGUGCGCAUGCUCAGGGUGUGCCUAACACAUUACACAGCGCAUGUUUCUGUGCGUUAUCACAAGCGGUUAAUCUGUGAUUGGUGGGUAUCUGUACCAGGACGACGUCCCAGGUUAAUACAUUGUAUAGAGGGUGCAGUGUGCAUGCUCAGGGUGUGCCUAACACAUUGCACAGCGCAUGUUUCUGUGCGUUAUCACAAGCGGUUAAUCUGUGAUUGGUGGGUAUCUGUACCAGGACGACGUCCCAGGUUAAUACAUUGUAUAGAGGGUGCAGUGUGCAUGCUCAGGGUGUGCCUAACACAUUACACAGCGCAUGUUUCUGUGCGUUAUCACAAGCAGUUAAUCUGUGAUUGGUGGGUAUCUGUACCAGGAUGACAUCCCAGGUUAAUACAU